GAUCAUGGCUCAGGAUGAACGCUAGCUACAGGCUUAACACAUGCAAGUCGAGGGGCAUCGGGUAAGAAAGCUUGCUUUCUUUGCCGGCGACCGGCGCACGGGUGAGUAACACGUAUCCAACCUGCCCUUUACUCGGGGAUAGCCUUUCGAAAGAAAGAUUAAUACCCGAUGGCAUAAUGAUUCCGCAUGGUUUCAUUAUUAAAAGGAUUCCGGUAAAGGAUGGGGAUGCGUUCCAUUAGGUUGUUGGUGAGGUAACGG
rnacentral:rRNA from 1 species